CACAAUAUUUUCUGGGAAAAUACCGUUGUACAUUAAGGUGACACAAAAUUAAAAAAAAAAAAAAAGAAAAAGCCGCAGCACAUUUUACGGUUCUACCAAACUUAGGGAAUCUACAAAAAAAAAUUUUAGAUUCCUUAGUGAUCAGGAAGAGCUACAUGUAAAUUUGAAAAUUUUACGUUGCAAGCAUUUUUUAUUUUUUCGCAUUUUUUUAUUAUCUUCACAUCAUUCAGCAAGUUUUUAAAACAUGUGUUAAAAAGUCAAGAUGUUUCUAAAACAUUUGUGGUCAUUCAAAAUUAUUUUUUUAAAAAUUUGCAGCAUAAAUUUUGUUUGCGUUUAAUCACUUGGCUACUUUUGAUUUAUUAUCUUGCUUUAAACUUUGAUUUUUUUUUCUCUUUACAUUUUUUUUAUAUUUACAUAUUACUUGUUCCUAUCUUCAGCUAGAGAUAAGCAAUUCAAACCUAAUUAAACAAACUUUUCAUGUUCUCGAGCACGAGAGGAUGUUAUAUGCAAAGGGAAAGACGAGUUUUUAAUUCAAAUAUCGAAAAAUACUGUUUACUCCGACAAAUUGUAAAUAUUUGGAAGCCUGCUGGUUUUAGUAAUUACUUGAUUUCUGAGAGAAGUAUAGUGGAAAAGUUUAAAUCUCUAUACAGCAAAUACAAAAUUUUGUACAAUAGUAAAAUCUUUUAAAUCAAAAAGCAAAUUUCCGAAUGCCACAAAAACGACUUUUACAAUGUGUUAGAACAAUUGUUUGACGUCAGUGCAAAAGACUUUGAGAAGAAGUUGAGACACGGUGAAUCAAUGCCUCGUAAUACUUCUGCUUAACAAGAGGAUUUGGCCUUCUUAAAUGAUCAAAAGUAUAUUUUGCUUAAAAUUUUUUGCGAAGGCUUAACCUAUUGAAAUGACAUAUCUACUAAUUUUUCCCAAAUAUGCUGGAAGUGUAAUUGCUGAAUCGGAAGUUUUUGUCCCAAAUAAGAAAAUUAACUUUCACAAAGCAAGCUCAAAAAGUAAGCAUCAGUUUAGACCAGAAUACUUCAGAGUAGAAAAGGAGAAAACCAAACCCUUCUUAUUGCAAGCGUAGUAAACUAUUUAGGAGGAGAUGUUAAACAACUAAAGUUAAACAGAGAAUCUGUCAGAAGGCGACGUUACAGAUUUUUAGAAGAGGAAGGAGGCCAGAUACGUAAUGAAUAUAUGAUUUAAUGGCAAAUUAGAUGUUAGCUUUACAUUUUGAUGGUAAAUUUUCAAAGCAUAUAGAGGAGGACACUAGGCUGGCCCCUACUGCAGAUAGACUAUCGGUAUCUGUAACUAGCUCAGAGUUUGAAAACAAAGCUGGUCUUUUACUUGGUGUUGUGCCAAUUGAUAUUGGUGAGGAAAUCGAUAUGGCAUUAGGUAUUAUGAAUCUCCUAUAAUAUUUUGAAAUUUGUGACUAUAUUGAAGGAUUUUGUUCUGACACCAUAUAAGUAACACUGGAUUGAAAUCUGGUACAAUAACUAUUAUGGCAAGAUUUCUUUUCAUUUUUUUGGUUAUUGUGUAGACACCAUGUUGCCGAGAUAAAUAUUACUUGGGCUUUUAAGUCAAUUUCAAAGGAAACAGAUAAAGCCCUAGCAAAUAAGUUGCUAAAAGAUUUUCAGAGGAAAUGGAUAACAAAAUUUUAUCGAAAAGUUUCAGCUAAUGGUGCCGUAGAAAAGUUUAAACAAUUUCCUGAGCAAGACCUGGCAGUGAUCUUUACAAACUCUAUUUGAAGUCUAAAAAGUUGUUAAAUAAAGCACUAGAAUAUGGAAUCCUCCCCAGUAUGUAACAAUAAUAUAAAAUGAAUUAGUUUUUUUCAUAAAUAUAUAUUUUAAAGGAUAUUAAAUAAAAAUAGGAAUAUUUUAGGAAUGAAUUUAAGUACCUUGUUGAAUAUUUAGCGUAUUACAUGAACGUUAAAUCUGAGAAAUUAAAUAAUUUUCAGAUCUAUCAGCCUGACGCCUGUCGCAAUGCAAGAUUUAUGGCCUAUGCAAUAUACUUUUUAAUGCUUGAUAUGACAUCCAAAGUCAUUAAAUAUCUGACUCAUGAAAAAAAACAUAUGGUCUUAAGGGUAGCAUUUAUUUUUGCUAUUUAUUAUUUACUUGCCUUUCUUAAAUCAAGCAUAGCAGAGUAUACCGUUCUCAAUAAUUUCAAUGCAUAUAAAAUUGCUGAAACAAUUAAAACAGAAUGGGAUCAUGGCAGUCCCGAAGAGGUCUUCCCAUGGAAGAGGUCUUCCAUAAAUAAUUGCCAACUCAAAAAGUAUUUCAGUUGGCACAUUGAGCAAAACUUGCUCGAUGCCAACUCAAAUGCUUUUUGAAAAAAAAAAAAAAUGCAAUUUGCCAACUACAAAACCAAUUUGCCAUAUUUUUAUAGUUUAAAACUUGCUCAAUGUCCCAACUCAAAUGCUUAUAUAACAGCUUUGGGGGGGGGGGACACCCCGAUACCCCUCCUUCGGGACGGCCCUGAAUGGGAUUAUGAAGUUGGAAACUCACUUUAGAAAAGCAUGAGUAACCACGCAUGGUGUUUGUCUCCUAAAGUUGUCGUACUACUGUUAGGUGAUCCUCAUAUGAAAGCAGAUGCCUAGAGUUUAAUCAUUGAGAAACUUUUAAAGUUUCCAGUUUCUGGAUUAUCAGAGAUUUUUGUAGAAGCUCCUUCUGCUAUCAUUAUUACCAGUGAUAGUCGAUUAGAGGAUUUAAUUAGGAAGAAGUGUUGAAUUUUUUUUAUACUUACAGGUUAUACCAAAUCUGUUCAAAAGUGACAUACUUCAAGUAAUUUCUUAGCGCUAGAUUCAUACACACAUUUCACUCAGUUUGCAAUCUUAGUGGGACCAACGACUGCGCAGAAAGAAAUAUUAGUUUAAUUGAAAACUUUGUUCACAGCUUCCACCAUAAGGAUGAGAAACAGAACAUUCUUCUGGUAGUCAGGGAACAUAGAAAGCUAAUAACAAAAGAUUUGUCGCUUUAGAAACUGGUUAACUGAAACCUACACUUGAAAAAUUAAUGUAAAAUAAUAGCUAACUGUAUAAAACUAUGAA
rnacentral:lncRNA from 1 species